rnacentral:rRNA from 1 species
GCAGGCCUACCAUGCAAGUCGAAGGAGAAGCCGGACUUCGGUCCGGUGGAAACUGGCGCACGGGUGAGUAACGCGUGGGUAUCUACCUUGGGGUGGGGAAUAACCGCUGGAAACGGCGGCUAAUACCGCAUACGCCUUUAGAGGGAAAGCUCCGGCGCCCUAAGAGGAGCCCGCGUUGGAUUAGCUUGUUGGUGGGGUAACGGCUCACCAAGGCUACGAUCUAUAGCUGGUCUGAGAGGAUGAUCAGCCACACUGGGACUGAGACACGGCCCAGACUCCUACGGGAGGCAGCAGUGGGGAAUAUUGGACAAUGGGCGCAAGCCUGAUCCAGCCAUGCCGCGUGAGUGAAGAAGGCCUUAGGGUUGUAAAGCUCUUUCACCUGCGAAGAUGAUGACGGUAGCAGGAGAAGAAGCCCCGGCUAACUCCGUGCCAGCAGCCGCGGUAAUACGGAGGGGGCUAGCGUUGUUCGGAUUUACUGGGCGUAAAGGGCGCGUAGGCGGUAUGCCAAGUCAGGGGUGAAAGGCCUGGGCUCAACCCAGGAACUGCCUUUGAAACUGGCAAACUAGAGUCCGAUAGAGGAUGGCGGAAUUCCCAGUGUAGAGGUGAAAUUCGUAGAUAUUGGGAA